rnacentral:rRNA from 1 species
GAUGAACGCUGGCGGCGUGCUUAACACAUGCAAGUCGAACGGAAAGGCUCCUGCUUGCAGGGGUACUCGAGUGGCGAACGGGUGAGUAACACGUGGGUGAUCUGCCCUGCACUUCGGGAUAAGCCUGGGAAACUGGGUCUAAUACCGGAUAGGACGAUGGUUUGGAUGCCAUUGUGGAAAGUUUUUCGGUGUGGGAUGAGCUCGCGGCCUAUCAGCUUGUUGGUGGGGUAAUGGCCUACCAAGGCGUCGACGGGUAGCCGGCCUGAGAGGGUGUACGGCGACAUUGGGACUGAGAGACGGCCCAGACGCCGACGGGAGGCAGCAGGGGGGAAUAUUGCACAAUGGGCGCAAGCCUGAUGCAGAGACGCCGCGGGGGGGAUGCCGGCCUUCGGGUUGGAAACACCUUUCGCUAGGGACGAAGCGUUUUGUGACGGUACCUGGAGAAGAAGCACCGGCUAACUACGUG